GUCCAGUCCUGCCUCUUACUAGCUCCUCUGUUUUCCGUGGCUCCUGGUUUCCAGCACUGAAGACAUCUAUCCUGCUAAUCUAGCUGCCCACCUGGGUUGUCUCCAGACCAGUUUCAGUUCUACUCACCUGGGGGUUCCUCAUCGCUGUAGGAGUUGUUUCCAGGUCAGUGUCAUCUCAGCUCUCUGCCUGUACCGCAUCAAGCCUGAGUCAGCACCAGCCCAGCAUAUACAUAGUUCACCCUUCAGUCCCUCCUGAGUAUCACCAGUCCAGCAUCCAUCCAGCUCUCCAGUCUAUUUCUGCAUCACUCCUGAGUCACCGCCUGUCCAGGUGCUACCUCAGUGCUGCCGCGUGUCCUUCAACCGAACUAACCUGCCCCACUCUUUGCCGGAUCCAGCAAGCCCAGCUGACCUCCAUCUUCCAGCUUGUCUUGUGACUGGCCUCUGCUAGGUUUCUGCAAUCUGUCCGGUUCUUCAUCUCCUACACCUGCCUGCUUCCCCCUCCUGUCCACCUACCAGCCCCUGAGGUCUUUUCAGCCUUCCUUAGGUCCUUUGAGUCCAAUUCCCAUGUCCUCACUCCACAUAGAAGUUGGACAGCCCACUCUCCUCUGUACUCACCCGCAUUGACAGAGGACCAGUCAUCCGGAGGUCCCCUUUUCCACACUUUCUUCACAUUGCUGGAAACAGUCCUGCCUCUGCACCACUCCACCAAGUAUUCUGUUUGUCUCAGCCAUUGCUGGUCACUUCUGAUUGACUGUACAAUAAACGUCUUAAUCUUA